CCUGCAACCCGCUGGCCUGGUGUCUGCUUUCUGUUUAUUGAAGCAAAAGCUUCAGGGCUGCUAAGCUUGCGUCCUGCUCAGCCGAAAGACCGAGGUGGCUUCUGCCCCUCGUGGGGCAUCCGCCUCGUGGUUAGAGCCAGUUCCGUCUCAAUAAGUCAGCUGUCCUGGGUUUGAAGAUCAUUGAGAAAGCAAUUCCUUCUCGCCAUCAGCACCAAUUCUGCAGAGGUUGUAAGGAAGCCCCUCUUCUCCUUUUGCAGUGUGAGAGACAGAGGAAGAGGAAGAUCAAGAAUGCUGCAAUAUUAAGAGAGAAUGCAGGCCCAUGUGAAGACAAAGAAAAAGAGGGUCCCCAUCCACUAAUGGGACCAUCAUUGGUCCUGUUAAUUCAUCUGAUGGAGUUCAGGAGCCAAAAGAACAACUAAAGUUGACAGAGAACCAAGAAAUAUGUUCUGGUUUAUAUCUUGGCUGCGGGUCCCAAACAUGGCAUGCCAGGACCAAGGACAUCUCGGAUGCAAAUGCAUCUGUCGCUCGGCCAGCUCCUUUAUUUCCCAGCCAAACUGUAACCGACAGUCGUCGAGAGGGUCAAGUCUCCUUCUCCAAGUUCCAAGAAGAGAAUUUAUAGCUCGUAAACUUGAGCCGUGCAGUCUGAUUCACAGGGCUCAUGAACGUUUUUUGUACUUCUGAGAAAUUCAUUUGUGAACAUGAUUGACUUUAAACAUUUCUCCCUCUGUCCAACUGAAUUGGAGAAGUGUUAUUCCAAGGAAUCAUUUUAUUUGUUUAAAAGCCGUUCCUCGGGUACAAUAAAACCUGGAAUUAUAACACAGAGGAGGUUUCGAAAGGGCUUCCUGUGGUUGCAGUUUUUGUUUAUUCACUAAUUCAUUCAGCACCAUCAAUGGAGUUGUGUAAAGAAUUUGCUUUGACGGCGGGGACAAAUGGGAGAAGCUGACGGCUCAAGCAAUAACAUUCAGCCAGUGGGAUCGUGUAUGGUGCUAUGUGAUAUGAAUUGCACUCAGAAUUCAUGUUGAAGGCAGUUAUGUGCACAGUUCCUCACUUGCUUGUGCACAAACUAGGCUGGACCAAGAAAUAAAUAAAUUUUAUCCGAUUUGUCGCUUCUUUCGAAGGUGAAGAAAUCAUAUGAUGUACUAGAAUUUUCUCAGGGGAAGA